rnacentral:rRNA from 1 species
UGCNAGUCNANGGCAGCGCGAGAGAGCUUGCUCUCUUGGCGGCGAGUGGCGGACGGGUGAGUAAUAUAUCGGAACGUGCCCAGUAGCGGGGGAUAACUACUCGAAAGAGUGGCUAAUACCGCAUACGCCCUACGGGGGAAAGGGGGGGAUCGCAAGACCUCUCACUAUUGGAGCGGCCGAUAUCGGAUUAGCUAGUUGGUGGGGUAAAGGCUCACCAAGGCAACGAUCCGUAGCUGGUUUGAGAGGACGACCAGCCACACUGGGACUGAGACACGGCCCAGACUCCUACGGGAGGCAGCAGUGGGGAAUUUUGGACAAUGGGGGAAACCCUGAUCCAGCCAUCCCGCGUGUAUGAUGAAGGCCUUCGGGUUGUAAAGUACUUUUGGCAGAGAAGAAAAGGUAUCCCCUAAUACGGGAUACUGCUGACGGUAUCUGCAGAAUANGCACCGGCUAACUACGUGCCAGCAGCCGCGGUAAUACGUAGGGUGCAAGCGUUAAUCGGAAUUACUGGGCGUAAAGCGUGUGUAGGCGGUUCGGAAAGAAAGAUGUGAAAUCCCAGGGCUCANCCUUGGAACUGCAUUUUUAACUGCCGAGCUANAGUAUGUCNGAGGGGGGUAGAAUUCCACGUGUANCAGUGAAAUGCGUAGAUAUGUGGAGGAAUACCGAUGGCGAANGCAGCCCCCUGGGAUAAUACUGACGCUCANACACNAAAGCGUGNGGAGCAAACAGGAUUAGAUACCCUGGUAGUCCACGCCCUAAACGAUGUCNACUANCUGUUGNGGCCGUUAGGCCUUNNUANCGCANCUAACGCGUGAAGUUGACCGCCNGGGGAGUACGGUCGCAAGNNUAAAACUCNNAGGAAUUGACGGGGANCCGCACAANCGGUGGAUGANGUGNAUUAAUUCNAUGCNNCGCGAAAAACCUUACCUACCCUUGANNUGUCUGGAAAGCCNAANANAUUUNGNCNGUGCUCGCA